rnacentral:rRNA from 1 species
UACGAAGGGGGCUAGCGUUGUUCGGAUUUACUGGGCGUAAAGCGCACGUAGGCGGAUUGUUAAGUGAGAGGUGAAAUCCCGGAGCUCAACUCCGGAACUGCCUUUCAUACUGGCAAUCUAGAGUCCGGAAGAGGUGAGUGGAACUCCUAGUGUAGAGGUGGAAUUCGUAGAUAUUAGGAAGAACACCAGUGGCGAAGGCGGCUCACUGGUCCGGUACUGACGCUGAGGUGCGAAAGCGUGGGGAGCAAACAGG